AGAGUUUGAUCCUGGCUCAGGAUGAACGCUAGCUACAGGCUUAACACAUGCAAGUCGAGGGGAAACGACAUCGAAAGCUUGCUUUUUGAUGGUCGUCGACCGGCGCACGGGUGAGUAACGCGUAUCCAACCUGCCCAUCACUUGGGGAUAACCUUGCGAAAGUAAGACUAAUACCCAAUGAUAUCUCUAGAAGACAUCUGAAAGAGAUUAAAGAUUUAUCGGUGAUGGAUGGGGAUGCGUCUGAUUAGCUUGUUGGCGGGGUAACGGCCCACCAAGGCAACGAUCAGUAGGGGUUCUGAGAGGAACGGUCCCCCACAUUGGAACUGAGACACGGUCCAAACUCCUACGGGAGGCAGUA
rnacentral:rRNA from 1 species